rnacentral:rRNA from 1 species
GAUGAACGCUGGCGGCGUGCCUAAUACAUGCAAGUCGAACGCUGGAACUCUAGCUUGCUCGAUUGAAGGAGUGGCGAACGGGUGAGUAAUACAUAAGCAACCUACCCACGAAGACUGGGAUAAUCUCUGGAAACGGGGACUAAUACCGGAUAGGUAAUCGGAAGGCAUCUUCUGAUUAUUAAAGGUUAAAAACCCUGGUGGAUGGGCUUAUGGCGCAUUAGUUAGUUGGUGAGGUAACGGCCCACCAAGACGAUGAUGCGUAGCCGGCCUGAGAGGGUGAACGGCCACAUUGGGACUGAGACACGGCCCAGACUCCUACGGGAGGCAGCAGUAGGGAAUUUUCGGCAAUGGGGGAAACCCUGACCGAGCAACGCCGCGUGAGUGAUGACGGCCUUCGGGUUGUAAAGCUCUGUUGUAAGGGAAGAACGGUAGAUAGAGAAUAUCUAAAUGACGGUACCUUACCAGAAAGCCACGGCUAACUACGUG